rnacentral:rRNA from 1 species
UACAGAGGGUGCGAGCGUUGUCCGGAAUCACUGGGCGUAAAGGGCGCGUAGGCGGUUUGUUGCGUCGGCUGUGAAAUCCCGAGGCUCAACCUCGGGUCUGCAGUCGAUACGAGCAAACUAGAGUGUUGCAGGGGAGACUGGAAUUCCUGGUGUAGCGGUGAAAUGCGCAGAUAUCAGGAGGAACACCGGUGGCGAAGGCGGGUCUCUGGGCAACAACUGACGCUGAGGAGCGAAAGCGGUGGGGAGCGAACAGG